UACAGAGGGUGCAAGCGUUGUUCGGAAUUAUUGGGCGUAAAGAGCUCGUAGGCGGUUUGUCGCGUCUGCUGUGAAAUCCCGAGGCUCAACCUCGGGUCUGCAGUGGGUACGGGCAGACUAGAGUGUGGUAGGGGAGAUUGGAAUUCCUGGUGUAGCGGUGGAAUGCGCAGAUAUCAGGAGGAACACCGAUGGCGAAGGCAGAUCUCUGGGCCAUUACUGACGCUGAGGAGCGAAAGCAUGGGGAGCGAACAGG
rnacentral:rRNA from 1 species